rnacentral:tRNA from 1 species
GCUCGUGUAGCUCAGUCGGUUAGAGCGCCAGCCUUAUGAGCUGGAUGUCGCGGGUUCGAUCCCCGCCUCGAGCA